rnacentral:rRNA from 1 species
UGGGGAAUAUUGCACAAUGGGCGCAAGCCUGAUGCAGCCAUGCCGCGUGUGUGAAGAAGGCCUUCGGGUUGUAAAGCACUUUCAGCGGGGAGGAAGGCGGUGAGGUUAAUAACCUCACCGAUUGACGUUACCCGCAGAAGAAGCACCGGCUAACUCCGUGCCAGCAGCCGCGGUAAUACGGAGGGUGCAAGCGUUAAUCGGAAUUACUGGGCGUAAAGCGCACGCAGGCGGUUUGUUAAGUCAGAUGUGAAAUCCCCGGGCUCAACCUGGGAACUGCAUCUGAUACUGGCAAGCUUGAGUCUCGUGGAGGGGGGUAGAAUUCCAGGUGUAGCGGUGAAAUGCGUAGAGAUCUGGAGGAAUACCGGUGGCGAAGGCGGCCCCCUGGACGAAGACUGACGCUCAGGUGCGAAAGCGUGGGGAGCAAACAGG